rnacentral:rRNA from 1 species
UACGUAGGGUGCAAGCGUUGUCCGGAAUUAUUGGGCGUAAAGAGCUCGUAGGCGGUCUGUCGCGUCGGCUGUGAAAACUCGGGGCUCAACCCCGAGCCUGCAGUCGAUACGGGCAGACUAGAGUCCGGCAGGGGAGACUGGAAUUCCUGGUGUAGCGGUGAAAUGCGCAGAUAUCAGGAGGAACACCGGUGGCGAAGGCGGUUCUCUGGGCAUGAUCUGACGCUGAGGAGCGAAAGCGUGGGGAGUCAAACAGG